CCUACGGGAGGCAGCAGUCGGGAAUUUUGGGCAAUGGGGGAAACCCUGACCCAGCAACGCCGCGUGAAGGAUGAAGUAUUUCGGUAUGUAAACUUCGAAAGAAUAGGAAGAAUUAAUGACGGUACUAUUUAUAAGGUCCGGCUAACUACGUGCCAGCAGCCGCGGUAAUACGUAGGGACCAAGCGUUGUUCGGAUUUACUGGGCGUAAAGGGCGCGUAGGCGGCAUGGCAAGUCACUUGUGAAAUCUCCGAGCUUAACUCGGAACGGCCAAGUGAUACUGCCGCGCUAGAGUGCGGAAGGGGCAAUCGGAAUUCUUGGUGUAGCGGUGAAAUGCUUAGAUAUCAAGAGGAACACCUGAGGUGAAGACGGGUUGCUGGGCCGACACUGACGCUGAGGCGCGAAAGCCAGGGGAGCAAACGGGAUUAGAUACCCCGGUAGUCCUGGCCCUAAACGAUGAAUACUUGGUGUCUGGAGUUUACAAGCUCCGGGUGCCGUAGCUAACGUUUUAAGUAUUCCGCCUGGGGAGUACGUACGCAAGUAUGAAACUCAAAGGAAUUGACGGGG
rnacentral:rRNA from 1 species